AAGCAAUCUGCCCCACACUCGGGAAUAGCCGUGCCAAACGCGCGGGUAAUACCGGAUAUCGUGGCCCUGGACAUCCGGGGUUGACGAAAGAUUUAUCGGUGUGGGAUGAGCUUGCGUCCGAUUAGCUAGUAGGCGGGCAACGGCCCACCUAGGCGACGAUCGGUAGCCGGCCUGAGAGGGUGAUCGGCCACAUUGGGACUGAGAUACGGCCCAGACUCCUACGGGAGGCAGCAGUAGGGAAUAUUGCACAAUGGGGGGAACCCUGAUGCAGCAACGCCAACGUGUGGGAAGAAGCAUUUCGGUGUGUAAACCACUGUCGUGAGGGAAUAAGGCAUUUUUUCGGAGAUGUUGAAUGUACCUCGAAAGGAAGCACCGGCAAACUUCGUGCCAGCCGCUGC
rnacentral:rRNA from 1 species